GACGAACGCUGGCGGCGUGCUUAACACAUGCAAGUCGAACGGAAAGGCCCUGCUUUUGUGGGGUGCUCGAGUGGCGAACGGGUGAGUAACACGUGAGUAACCUGCCCUUGACUUUGGGAUAACUUCAGGAAACUGGGGCUAAUACCGGAUAGGAGCUCCUGCUGCAUGGUGGGGGUUGGAAAGUUUCGGCGGUUGGGGAUGGACUCGCGGCUUAUCAGCUUGUUGGUGGGGUAGUGGCUUACCAAGGCUUUGACGGGUAGCCGGCCUGAGAGGGUGACCGGCCACAUUGGGACUGAGAUACGGCCCAGACUCCUACGGGAGGCAGCAGUGGGGAAUAUUGCACAAUGGGCGGAAGCCUGAUGCAGCAACGCCGCGUGCGGGAUGACGGCCUUCGGGUGGAAACCGCUUUCGCCUGUGACGAAGCGUGAGUGACGGUAAUGGGUAAAGAAGCACCGGCUAACUACGUG
rnacentral:rRNA from 1 species